AUUGAACGCUGGCGGCAGGCUUAACACAUGCAAGUCGAGCGGGGUGAUGGUGCUUGCACUAUCACUUAGCGGCGGACGGGCGAGUAAUGCUUAGGAAUCUGCCUAUUAGUGGGGGACAACAUCUCGAAAGGGAUGCUAAUACCGCAUACGUCCUACGGGAGAAAGCAGGGGAUCACUUGUGACCUUGCGCUAAUAGAUGAGCCUAAGUCGGAUUAGCUAGUUGGUGGGGUAAAGGCCUACCAAGGCGACGAUCUGUAGCGGGUCUGAGAGGAUGAUCCGCCACACUGGGACCGAGACACGGCCCAGACUCCUACGGGAGGCAGCAGUGGGGAAUAUUGGACAAUGGGGGGAACCCUGAUCCAGCCAUGCCGCGUGUGUGAAGAAGGCCUUAUGGUUGUAAAGCACUUUAAGCGAGGAGGAGGCUCUUUUGGUUAAUACCCAAGAUGAGUGGACGUUACUCGCAGAAUAAGCACCGGCUAACUCUGUGCCAGCAGCCGCGGUAA
rnacentral:rRNA from 1 species